rnacentral:tRNA from 1 species
CGAAGCAUGGCCUAACUAGGGCACCUCCUUUACACUGAGAAAGUAUUCGUUAAAAUCGAAUUGCUUCGA